AUACUCUCGUCAUAAGUCUUACUCUCAGACGAAAGUCUCAUUCAUUAGAAUUAGAGCUAUAGUUGGUGGUUAUUUUAUUUAAGUUUUCAUUGUUUAAUUCAAAUAAGUUAUAUACACUCCUGGCUGUGAAAGCAGGUGAAUUGUCAAUCCUGACGUGUGAGGGAAAGCGGUGUAACCUCUGGAACGUGAUGUGAUGAAGUAUAGAUAGACACACCUAUAGUGUCAGAGCAAACGAACAAUGUCUGCGGUCACCUAUGACACAUCACAUUGGACAGUAUCACUUAGUGACACUUGAGGGAAAUAUGUGUUCAGAGGAACUUGAUUGUGGACACAGGAAGAGAAGUUGAAAUCACAAUCAAGACUCAAGUUGUGUUGUCUUUUAUGUUUCCCUACAUUUUGGCCCUUGCACAAUGUAAGACUAAAACAGUAGAUUAAAAAAUUGACAGGCAAUUUUUUUUAGCGGGAGGGGGAGGAGUUGUUAUUACAUGAUUAGGAAUUAGUUAUUUGUUUCGGGAAUAGGGUAAAGUUUUAAUUAGCGACAAUGACGUAAAGUUGGUUAAAAAACAAGAACGCUCUAAGCGACGCUAAAAGGAAGACGCAUUAUGUAGAGCAGUAGAAUAGAUACGGAUUUACGGACAUAGCUGACAUCGGACGAUCCCUUCUUGAUGAUUAAAUAUAUUUGUAGAACAGCA